CCUACGGGAGGCAGCAGUGAGGAAUAUUGGUCAAUGGGCGCGAGCCUGAACCAGCCAAGCAGCGUGAAGGAUGACUGCCCUACGGGUUGUAAACUUCUUUUAUAAAGGAAUAAAGUGAGGCACGUGUGCCUUUCUGUAUGUACUUUAUGAAUAAGGAUCGGCUAACUCCGUGCCAGCAGCCGCGGUAAUACGGAGGAUCCAAGCGUUAUCCGGAUUUAUUGGGUUUAAAGGGAGCGUAGAUGGGUUGUUAAGUCAGUUGUGAAAGUUUGCGGCUCAACCGUAAAAUUGCAUUUGAUACUGGCAGUCUUGAGUACAGUUGAGGUAGGCGGAAUUCGUGGUGUAGCGGUGAAAUGCUUAGAUAUCACGAAGAACUCCGAUUGCGAAGGCAGCUUACUAAGCUGCAACUGACAUUGAUGCUCGAAAGUGUGGGUAUCAAACAGGAUUAGAUACCCUAGUAGUC
rnacentral:rRNA from 1 species